rnacentral:tRNA from 1 species
CGGGGCGUGGCGCAGCCUGGAUAGCGCGCGUGCUUUGGGAGCACGAGGUCGCCGGUUCGAAUCCGGCCGCCCCGACCA